UAACAACGUGGUCAGUUGUAACCUUGUCCAANAGUGAGGGAGUAUUUAAAUCGCCUCCUAAUUUUUUUUCUUUCCAACUGUGUUCGAAGGCUCAAAUGAGUGCUGAUGGGUUUGUCAACAGGUAAUCCACCCGUUUAUGAGGAGAUUGAUGGAUCUGAGGCAAACGCAACUGACGCAAAGCUCACAUCUAUCUUGGUUUAAGGAUGUGGUCCGCCGAAAGGCUGGGAGGAGGAAUUACAUGCACAAGCACUAUGGCCCCUCAUAAAUCACUGCCACCCAGAGAAAAUGUCACAUUCCAGCGCUUGGUGGGAAUUGGGAAGAGGAAACAGGAAGGAGAGCCGAUGACAACAUCUGGUUGUGAUUUCAGAGAUGCGGGCAUGCUUGGGACUUUUCCAGACCAAAGUAAUCAUAUUUUUGUCAGCACGGCUAUCUCUUACCUGCUGCAGAGUGUGAAUGAAUAAUUGAAAUCCUGACCUUGCAGCAGAAGCUGUCACAAAGGUAUGAAUGCUGUUGGACCUCCAUUGAAGUGAAGUGUGGAUACUAUAUCAUGCUUUUUGAUAACAAGAUAUCAGUAAAUAAUAUGAUAUUUCAUUGCUAAUCUGAAUAAUAUGUAUUAUAUUCAGUUUAAAACAUAAAUUUUAUAUUAUGUAAAAAUAUCUUAUAUUUAUUUUAUUUAAAAAAUUGUGCCCAAAAAUAUAUGCUUUGUCUGUAUGUUCUGUUUUAAAGUUCGUCAACAUCACUGUUGCUAUAUGUGCUGUUAACUAAAAAUCUUGCUGCUUCCAUACAUAGCUUUAUUUGUGAUCGCAACAUCAAAAAUGUUCAUUAAACUUUAAUUAGUUAGAAAUUGUAUAUCUUAAAGGGAGGCUCGGGCAAAUUUAGAGACUGGGGAAUAUUCUUAGAGUCGUACAAAUGUUGUAACUUCUUCAGAUCUUUUGUCUUUCUAAUAAUUCUCACUUUAUUGUCCUUUAAUUUGUCAUGGAAGACAGUGUUUUUAUGUCCCACUGCUGUGGAUUUGCCCCAGCACACAGAGUCUCUUGUGAUAUGGGCAAAUAUCUGGUACCCCGGCAGGCAAUUAGAAUGAAUAUUCCUGCAAUAGUGGAUCAAAAGAGAACAAUCUUUUAAAAUCAAAGUGGAGCUUUUUUUGUUUUAGAAAAAGGUAUUCAUUUACAUAUAAAAUGCUGUGUUUGGGGUGGGGGCCCUGAAGGCAGGGGCCUCUGGGGACAUCAUGUCUCUGUUGUGCUCAGUUAGAAGAUGGGAAAAAGUGGUUAAAGUAUCUCAAAAGUCUUAUGUAAUGAAGAGUUUGAUAGAUGCAAUCAAGCAUGUCGUAUUAACAGCCUGAAAGAGAUACUUCUGAUCAGUUUUGUUUUGUAUUCUCUUUCUUAUUUGCUUGCUUGAUUUGUGUGUGUUGUCUGGUCAGAACAAGGCGAUGGAAACAUUUUUGGUUUGGUUUUAUUAAAACUAUAAUUAUAUAUAUAUCUUAAGUAUAUGUAUAAUCAAUAUUCAUCUGAAAUGGAAAAGCUAUAUUUUAUUUCAAUUUAAUGGUCAGUCAAUUUAUCAAAUUAAAAUAGUUAAUAGUUAAUAAUUUUUAUUAAACAAAACCAAAUUUGAAAUGCAAAAAUGUUGAAGUGCUUAUAAAUUUCAGCAUUUCCCUCAAUUUGAAUUUUGUUUUUAA
rnacentral:lncRNA from 1 species